rnacentral:rRNA from 1 species
AUUGAACGCUGGCGGCAGGCCUAACACAUGCAAGUCGAACGAGUGGCGGACGGGUGAGUAAUGUCUGGGAAACUGCCCGAUGGCGGGGGAUAACUACUGGAAACGGUAGCUAAUACCGCAUACCACCGGAUGUGCGCAGAUGGGUGUAGCUAGUAGGUUGGGUAACGCCUCACCUAGGCGAGGAUCCGUAGCCGGUUUGAGAGGACGACCAGCAACACUGGGACUGAGACACGGCCAAGACUCCUACGGGAGGCAGCAGUGGGGAAUUUUGGACAAGGGGGGAAACCCUGAUCCAGCCAUCCCGCGUGGGCGAUGAAGGCCUUCGGGUUGUAAAGCACUUUUGGCAGGAAAGCGGUACCUGCAGAAUAAGCACCGGCUAACUACGUGCCAGCAGCCGCGGUAAUUC